CAGGGGAGCCCUCUGCUCUCCGCCCCAGCCUGCACCUCUGUCCUGGCCAACCACGUUCAUUGUUUCUCACCGGCGCCCAACUUCCUCGAAAUUCUGGAGACUAAUGCAACGGGAGAUGCCCUCUGGGUAUUUGGAAGAACUGUCUUCCCAGUGCAAUUGUACUCGCCCAAUCGAAUACUUACUGAUGUCUGCGAAGUGCUGGGGCACAAAACUAGAACCGACUCGGACCCUGCCUACCCUCCAGUCAUUUGGACAAAGAACCUUCGGUACAGAGCAAAUCCCAUGUCCGACGCAACUAGAAGGAAAGGCAACCUGAGGAAGCAUCAGAGUCUCCACAAAGGUGCACCAAAUGCUUUUGGUUUCCCUCUUGUAAUUUCAUUUAUUGAAAUUUACUCUAUGCGAAAUGCUGUUCUAUGAGCUUUACAAUCAGUAAUCCUCACAAUGGCCCUAUGAGAUUGGUACUGUCAUCCCAUUUUGCAGAUUUAUAUAUCCAGCAAGUAUUUA